rnacentral:rRNA from 1 species
GACGAACGCUGGCGGCGUGCUUAACACAUGCAAGUCGAACGGAAAGGCCCUGCUUUUGUGGGGUGCUCGAGUGGCGAACGGGUGAGUAACACGUGAGUAACCUGCCCUUGACUUUGGGAUAACUUCAGGAAACUGGGGCUAAUACCGGAUAGGAGCUCCUGCUGCAUGGUGGGGGUUGGAAAGUUUCGGCGGUUGGGGAUGGACUCGCGGCUUAUCAGCUUGUUGGUGGGGUAGUGGCUUACCAAGGCUCUGACGGGUAGCCGGCCUGAGAGGGUGACCGGCCACAUUGGGACUGAGAUACGGCCCAGACUCCUACGGGAGGCAGCAGUGGGGAAUAUUGCACAAUGGGCGGAAGCCUGAUGCAGCAACGCCGCGUGCGGGAUGACGGACUUCGGGUUGUAAACCGCUUUCGCCUGUGACGAAGCGUGAGUGACGGUAAUGGGUAAAGAAGCACCGGCUAACUACGUG